UUCCGUGUAAGUUGAUCUGCACAUUCUCGCGCGUACGAUAACAAAUUAGUUCCACUUACAAAUAAGCUUUUGUGUCGACAACACUUAUUUUGAAAAUACUUUUUAGUAUCCCUGUAAUAACCGUGUAAUCGUACAUGUCUUCUAAAGAUUUGAUUGAAAGUGUUUUAGAAAAAAUGAAGGUGUUAUUUUUCUUGUUCUUGAUAGUGACGGCGAUGUCAGUCGGUGCGAAGUUCACACAAAUCAUUCAAAUUGACGACAAUUCCGUCGACAAUUCAUUGUCACCGGUGCUGCCUUCAUCGGUGACCCAGGAGGGGUUCGUGUAUGUAGUACAAUCCUGCACAAAUCGACAAUGCAACGCCAUUUGCAAGAUGCUUGGCUACAAACACGGCGAGUGUCUGUCGGCGAACACCUGCCACUGUCAUAAUUAAUACGUAAUCUUACAUCACAAUGACCUGAUUCAUCACUUGUUUAUAAGCGUCUGAUUCAGAAGUUAUCCGACAAAUAUGUUGAUAAACAGUUCAGUUGCGAGCAUAGAGAUACGCUUGACUGCGAGUGAUGAAAGGGAACUAAUUUUUAUAAUCUUCUUCUUCAAGAAGAAGAAGAAGAAGUAUUGUUAUAAUAUGGUAUUAACAAAACUCUUUGAAUGUCAAUCAACUUUAAUCACUUUUCUGCAUCUGAAAUACUGACGUCUGAAAUCUGAAUUUAUAAUUGAAUUAGUUAGUAAGUUAGUAUAACCAUUGUCUUGUAGUGAAAACCACGUAUAAGCACCAUUUUGAAAAAAAAAAAACACAUUCUGUUUGAAAACCUCGAUUUCUUUAAAUCCGGAUAAAAAUAUAAAACUAGUCUAUUACGUUUUGUUAACAAAAAUCACACCUGAAUGUGCUUUACAAAAAGGGGCUUACCUACUUGAACUCGUGGUACGACUGCCUUGUCCGACUGCUUUGUCCGACUGAUCGGACCUCACGACUUUUUUUUCUUGUCGGUUCGAGUAAGGAGUCGGACCAUGGAGUUUUACCGUUCUUAAGAAAACAUGGUCCGACCGACCUGGGGGGUUAAAAAGGCCACAUCGAAGCAAUUCAUCUAAACAAACAAUAUUGCAAUUGGGUAUUUGACUGGGUGAAAAAUAAAUUAUAAAAUGAUAUUGUAAAAAUAGUCUAAGAUGAUCAAAAAUCAGUCCUAUUUUACUAUUCGGAUUGUUUUCGAGUUUUAUUUAUGAAUUAAGUAACAAUGACGUUUGACCGCUUUUUUGAUGAAGUCACAGUAUUUCCACACAAACUCCAAAGAAAACUUUCGUUUCGACGUGCGUAAAAAGUAUCUCAUUUGACUAGGUUGUCAAGUAGCCUAGGUAUUUGACAUUUGCGCAGUCAGGGCACAUCGGAUCACGUGUUCAGAGGGUACCUACUUGCAUUUUCAUUAUAAGACAACGAUAUAGUACAUAUAUGUAAUAUUUGCUUAUUAAAUAAUCAACAAUUUAAA